rnacentral:lncRNA from 1 species
GGAACUAAAAUGAAAAAGUGAACAAAAGAUGAAUCCAAACUGAAUCACAAUAAUAUGAGUCAUUACAUUCCUUCAAAGUUCUAAGUCAACAUUACACACAUCCAUAUCAUCACAUCUCAUACAUAUAAGUUAUCACAACCACAAGACAAAAUUUAAAAUUAAGUGAAAAAUGAACAAAAUUCAAAUGGAAAUAAAUUUUGUUUUAUUGAAUUGAGAAAACAUGCAGUUUACAUAAAAGUAGAACCAUUGCUUACAUACAUCCUUGAUUUCUACACAUACAUACAUCAUAUAAGUCACACUUUCAUUCACCAGACUCAUGCAAUUCACCCUGCACACGAGUUUCUCCUCACCAUCACAUCGCCCGCCCCCCCCCAAAAAAAAAUCACUCACAUUUUACAUCAAUUCCCUCAUACACUCACCAUCCAAAAUACCCCCCACACGAGUUUCCCCUCCUAUAAAACCAUGCCUUGGCUCACUGAGUGUACACACAUUAUGAAACCUUGAAACUCUCUACAAAAAUCUCCACAACUAGUGCAAUUCAAAACUUUCCCACCCUUUCACCAAAGCUCAUCUUCAUAAAUCUUUUAGAGUUUCACGUUGAAGCUCCAAAAGUUUAAGCUCAUAACCUGCAUCAAUCACAAUUUCUAGAAGUUGAAGAAGGAGACGAAGAAGUUGAAGAAGGAGAAGUAUUAGGGAACGUAACAAGAGAAGGAGAGGGUUAGAGUAAAGCUUACAUGCCUAAAGGUGAUUACGUGUUGGAGUUCUUGCUAGAACUUUGAAAAUUCCAGAUUCGAGUGAGGUGUUUUUCUUCUAUUCCCUUUGAUUUUUCAUGUUGAUUUACGUUUCUCCUUGCAUAUUUACUAUUUUCCUUCUUUCAAUUGAUGUAAACCGGUUUCAAUUUGACAAAAUAAUGGAUUUGGGGAAUUUAGGGUUUCGGUUGUGAUAAGGGUGAUUUGUGUUUGUUUUGAUUUGUUUGAUGGUUUUAAUGUUUGAUUCAUGACCAGGGGAGAAAGUUGAGAGGGGUUCGUGUUUGCAACUUUUGAUUUCAAUGUAUUUUGGUAAAAUCUGGAAAAUGGGAUGAACAUGUUCUUCAUUAUUCAUCUUUUUUCCAUGUUUGAUCAAAAAAAUGUUUGAAAUGUGAAGUGAACUCGUGUUUGCUUCCUGAGAGAGUAGAGAGAGAAUAAAAUGAGGAGAGAGAGAGGAGUUGGAAAAUGAGAGGUACGCUCUCGUCCCCCUCUUUUGUGAUAUCUCUCAUCAGCUUCCGUAAAGACAUGUGGCAUCCUUGUAUCCCUUGGAUCUUAUGACUUUUGCCUUGACUAGGGGUCCAUGUACAAGGACCCCACCUUAAUACCAUGCUCCUUUAUUUGCAUGCCCUUGGAUCACGCUGAUCAUCCCUAGUGUUCUAAUCCAACGAAUCAGAAUUGAAUCAAUUUCUUUGACUCUCUUGACCUUGGACUAGGCCAAGCACCCUUGGGCCUUCUGACCCUAGGCCUAGAUGAUUUCCACACCUUUUUUUUGUUAUUUGCUGCAUUUAUUAUUAUUACUUGUAUUGUAUUUUUUUGCUUUCCUUAGGCGGUCAUUUACCCCACUUUCUUUUUACUUUACUUAUCAUUCCGAUUGAUUGCAUGCACACCCUUCCCUUUCUUUGUUUUUUAUAAUUAUUUUAUCAUAUUAUUUUAUUUUCAUUAUUUGGUCAAUUAACUCAUU